rnacentral:rRNA from 1 species
UAAGGAAUAUUGUCUCUAUGGGGGCCAACCACUGAAAACAGCCAUGCCGCGUGUGUGAAGAAGGCCUUCGGGUUGUAAGCACUUUUGUUGGGGAAGAAAAGCACUGGGCUAAUACCUUGGUGUCAUGACGGUACCCAAAGAAUAAGCACCGGGCUAACUCCGUGC